UACGGAGGGUGCAAGCGUUGUUCGGAAUUACUGGGCGUAAAGCGCGUGCAGGCGGCCGACUAAGUCCGGUGUGAAAGCCCGGGGUUCACCCCCGGAAGUGCGCUGGAAACUGGUCGGCUAGAGUACGGGAGAGGGAAGCGGAAUUCCUGGUGUAGCGGUGAAAUGCGUAGAUAUCAGGAGGAACACCGGCGGCGAAGGCGGCUUCCUGGACCGAUACUGACGCUGAGACGCGAAAGCGUGGGGAGCAAACAGG
rnacentral:rRNA from 1 species